AUUGAACGCUGGCGGCAGGCCUAACACAUGCAAGUCGAGCGCGAAAGUUCUUCGGAAUGAGUAAAGCGGCGGACGGGUGAGUAAUACAUGGGAAUCUGCCUGGUAGUGGGGGACAACGUUUCGAAAGGAACGCUAAUACCGCAUACGCCCUACGGGGAAAGGGGGGGAUCGCAAGACCUCUCGCUAUCAGAUGAGCCCAU
rnacentral:rRNA from 1 species